AGCACGUGGGUGUGUUUUUGUCUUAACUUGUACACUAAAACUUAAUGAAUGGGUGCAAAAAAUAAAUCCUCUUUGGUAACCCGGAGCUCAUAGUUCGGUAUGAGUUCGAGGCAUUGAGGGAACGUUACU
ensembl:snoRNA